AGUUUAAAAUGCUGAUUUGGAAAUGCAAAUGUUUAUACGUGCCUCUCCUUGCCUGUUUUCAGUGGCUUGCAGGAAAGCUCUGGACAGUACCACAGUAGCAGCUCACGAAUCUGAAAUCUACUGCAAAACCUGUUACGGGAGAAAAUACGGUCCCAAAGGUGUUGGCUUCGGACAAGGGGCAGGAUGUCUCAGCACUGACACCGGUGACCAUCUGGGCUUGAAUCUGCAACAGGGGUCACCAAAGUCUGCUCGUCCUUCUACACCAACUAAUCCUUCCAAGUUUGCCAAAAAGAUGGUAGAUGUGGAUAAAUGUCCCCGUUGUGGCAAAUCAGUGUAUGCUGCAGAGAAGAUCAUGGGAGGAGGAAAACCUUGGCAUAAGACGUGCUUCCGCUGUGCUAUUUGUGGGAAGAGUUUAGAAUCUACGAAUGUUACAGACAAAGAUGGAGAGCUCUACUGUAAAGUUUGCUAUGCAAAAAAUUUCGGUCCCAAAGGAAUUGGGUUCGGUGGCCUCACUCAAGUGGAAAAGAAAGAGUGCGAAUGAGAAGAAAUGGAUGCAGCAGACUCAAACUGCUGUUGAUGCCACUAAGUGACAGGUGUCAAGUAAAACAUUAAACAUCACACAUUGCUAAGAACUUAGGGCAUUUGUUUAACAUUUUCCACCUUGCAGGAAAUACUUGUGAAUACUGCUGAAGAAAAAUAACAUUUUCUUAGAAUACAGUGUUGUAAGUUUUGUAAUUGUUUCCAAGCUACAAUAAAGUACU